rnacentral:rRNA from 1 species
GCGCAGCAGCUGCGAAAAUUCCACAAUGCGCGAAAGCGUGAUGGAGUUAUCCCGAGUGUCACCUGCUGAGGGUGGCUUUUCUCCAGUCUUAACAGCUGGAGGAAUAAGGAGAGGGCAAGUCUGGUGUCAGCCGCCGCGGUAAUACCAGCUCUCCGAGUGGUAGGGAUGAUUAUUGGGCUUAAAGCGUCCGUAGCUGGCCUUUCAAGUCUCUUGUUAAAUCCAGCGAUUCAAUCGUUGGACUGCGGGAGAUACUGUUAGGCUAGGGGGCGGGAGAAGCCGACGGUAUUUCCGGGGUAGGGGUAAAAUCCUAUAAUCCCGGGAAGACCACCAGUGGCGUAGGCGGUCGGCUAGCACGCGCUCGACAGUGAGGGACGAAAGCUGGGGUAGCGAACCGGAUUAGAUACCCGGGUAGUCC